rnacentral:misc_RNA from 1 species
ACGAGAACUUGCCCCCCGGGGCAGAUCUCCCACCCUCUGUGAACCAUACCUCUGUUGCUUUGGCGGGCCCGUCCUUGGACCGCCGGCUCCGGCCGGCCAGCGCCCGCCAGAGGAUCUCAAACGCUUCUGUCUGUGUCGUCCGAGUCUGAUAUUAAAUUGUCA